GCAACUGCAACCCAAUUGAAGUAUUUCAACAGCUGGUUUCAUCACCAACAGGAGAAAGCUGACUCUUUUGUGGAGUUCAGAAACCAUUUCUAGGAUGAAUUUCCUUUUAUUUGGAAGGAGGUUUUAAACUGAGCAUUUGACGUCACAUUGUUACCCACUGAAAAGUGCUCUCUGUAAGUGCUUCCUGAAGAAGGCAAGGUUGAAGUGAACCCUUUCAAACCAAUGCGUGGCACUUUGUUAGCAUUUGCUGAGUGUCCAGCACUAAGCUAGGCUUGUGAGUGUUUUUUUUCCAAGUCACUGGGAGUACUCAAGCAGAGCUGAUGAAAAUUCAUCAAUCUGGGAAGUUCCAGAAGGGAUUUUGCAGUGA